rnacentral:rRNA from 1 species
CAAUAGCGUAUAUUAAAGUUGUUGCAGUUAAAAAGCUCGUAGUUGAACCUUGGGCCUGGCUGGCCGGUCCGCCUCACCGCGUGCACUGGUUCGGCCGGGCCUUUCCCUCUGGGGAUCCGCAUGCUCUUCACUGAGUGUGGUGGGGAACCAGGACUUUUACUGUGAAAAAAUUAGAGUGUUCAAAGCAGGCCUAUGCUCGAAUACAUUAGCAUGGAAUAAUAGAAUAGGACGUGUGGUUCUAUUUUGUUGGUUUCUAGGACCGCCGUAAUGAUUAAUAGGGACAGUCGGGGGCAUCAGUAUUCAAUUGUCAGAGGUGAAAUUCUUGGAUUUAUUGAAGACUAACUACUGCGAAAGCAUUUGCCAAGGAUGUUUUCAUUAA